AAUAGCUCAAAUUUGAAAGCUGGCGUCUUCGACGUCCGCGUUGUAAUUUGUAGAGGAUGCUUCGGCGAAGACUCCUGCCUAAGUCCCCUGGAACGGGGCGUCAUAGAGGGUGAGAAUCCCGUAUGUGGCGGGCAGUCUAAGCCAUGUGAAGCUCCUUCGACGAGUCGAGUUGUUUGGGAAUGCAGCUCUAAAUGGGAGGUAAAUUUCUUCUAAAGCUAAAUAUUGGCCAGAGACCGAUAGCGCACAAGUAGAGUGAUCGAAAGAUGAAAAGCACUUUGGAAAGAGAGUUAAAAAGUACGUGAAAUUGUUGAAAGGGAAGCGCUUGCAACCAGACUCGCUCGUAGUUGCUCAGCCGGCCUCUUGGCCGGUGUACUCUUCUACGAUCGGGCCAGCAUCAGUUCGGGCGGCAGGAUAAAGGUGUCGGGAAUGUAGCACCCUUCGGGGUGUGUUAUAGCCCGGCGCGGAAUGCUGCCAGCCUGGACUGAGGAUCUCGCUUCGGCAAGGAUGCUGGCGUAAUGGUUGUAAGCGGCCCGUCUUGAAACACGGACCAAGGAGUCUAACAUCUAUGCGAGUGUUUGGGUGUCAAACCCAUGCGCGUAAUGAAAGUGAACGGAGGUGGGAACCCCUCACGGGGUGCACCAUCGACCGAUCCUGAUGUCUUCGGAUGGAUUUGAGUAAGAGCAUAGCUGUUGGGACCCGAAAGAUGGUGAACUAUGCCUGAAUAGGGUGAAGCCAGAGGAAACUCUGGUGGAGGCUCGCAGCGGUUCUGACGUGCAAAUCGAUCGUCAAAUUUGGGUAUAGGGGCGAAAGACUAAUC
rnacentral:rRNA from 1 species